rnacentral:rRNA from 1 species
UACGAAGGGUGCAAGCGUUGUUCGGAUUUACUGGGCGUAAAGGGCGCGUAGGCGGCCACCGCAAGUCGACUGUGAAAUCUCCGGGCUUAACCCGGAAAGGUCAGCCGAUACUGCGGGGCUAGAGUGCAGAAGGGGCAACUGGAAUUCUCGGUGUAGCGGUGAAAUGCGUAGAUAUCAGGAGGAACACCGGUGGCGAAGGCGGAUCUCUGGGCCAUUACUGACGCUGAGGAGCGAAAGCGUGGGGAGCGAACAGG